rnacentral:rRNA from 2 species
ACGGGGGCAGCAGGCGCGAAACCUUUGCAAUGUGCGCAAGCACGACAAGGUUAAUCCGAGUGUUUCCUGCUAAAGGAAUCUUUUGUUAGUCGUAAAACCACUGAUGAAUAAGGGGUGGGCAAGUUCUGGUGUCAGCCGCCGCGGUAAAACCAGCACCUCAAGUGGUCAGGAGGAUUAUUGGGCCUAAAGCAUCCGUAGCCGGCUCUGCAAGUUUUCGGUUAAAUCCAUUUGCUUAACAAAUGGGCUGCCGAAAGUACUACAUAGCUAGGGAGUGGGAGAGGUAGACGGUAUUCGGUAGGAAGGGGUAAAAUCCUUUGAUCUAUUGAGGACCACCUAUGGCGAAGGCAGUCUACCAGAACACGUUCGACGGUGAGGGAUGAAAGCUGGGGGAGCAAACCGGAUUAGAUACCCGGGUAGUCCCAGCUGUAAACGAUGCAGACUCGGUGAUGCACUGGCUUGUGGCCAGUGCAGUGCCGCAGGGAAGCCGUUAAGUUUGCCGCCUGGGAAGUACGUACGCAAGUAUGAAACUUAAAGGAAUUGGCGGGGGAGCAC